UCCCAAAGUGCUGGGAUUAUAGGCAUGAGCCACCGUGCCGGGCCAAGUAGUUUUAAACAGUCAAGUUAUAAAACAAUGACUGGUUAGAGUUUAACUCUGCCUACAUCUUAGCAGAAGAAACAAUGGCUGAUUAGAGUUUGUGCCUACAUCUUAGCAGAAUUCAGGGCCCUAUCACAUUUCUAAGCUUGAGGCCUUUGGUUAGUUUUACAAAAGCAGUUUUGGUCCUGAGCAAGGAGGGGGUUAGUUAUGAGAAGGAACUAUUUUCAUUUUUGUUUUAACAUUAAACUAUAAAUUCGUAGGCCAGGCACGGUGGCUCACACCUGUAAUCCCAGCACUUUGGGAGGCCAAGGUGGGAGGAUCACUCAAGACCAGGAGUUCAAGACCAGCCUGGGUAAUAUGAUGAAACCCCAUCUAUCAAAACAAAAGAAAACAAAACAAAAAUUAGCUGGGCAUGGUGGUUAUGUGCCUGUAGUCCCAGCUACUCAGGAGGCUGAGACAGUAGGAUUGCUUGAGGUUGGGAGGUCGAAGCUGCAGUGAGCCAUGAGUGUGUCACUGCACUCCAGCCUGGGUGACAGAGUGAAACCCUGUCUCAAAAAAUAAAAAUAAAAGUAAAUACAAAAUUCCUCCUAUAGUUAGCCUGGAAUGAGCAAAGACAGCUUGUGAGGUUAGAAGGAAGAUGGAGUCAGUUAUGUUAGAUUUCCCUCACUCAUAAUUUUUGCAAAAGUAGUUAGUCUUUCUUGAUUAAGUCCUCCUGGUUGCUGUAAGCUUUUGCUUAGGUUCUAGAAUUCUAAAAAAGUUGAUUCUGGCAGUUUUUGCCAGUUUAUUUAUUGCUUUUUUGGAGGGACUUUUGAUGUUCCUUAUUCUUCCCUGUUCAUGGAUGUCACCCCUACAUGCUUUUCUUACAAUGUGACUUUUGCAGUCCUCUCACCAAGAGGUGGGGCCUAUGUUCCAUUCUAUGAGACUGGGUGGGACUUACGACUGCUCCAACCAAACAAGGACAACAGAGGCCAUGGUUUGUAACUUUCUAAGCUAGGUUAUGAUACAGCUUCUAGCUGACUCACUUUUUUCAAGAGCUGGGGUUAGACAAUUGCUCUGGGGAAGUCAGCUACCACACUGUGAGAAGCCCAGAUUCACCCAUAUGGAGAAAAACUAAGGCCUCAAGCUGACAGCCAGCCUUGACCUCCAGACACAAGAAUAGGCUGGUCUUCAGAUGCUUCCAGCGUCCAGCCUUCAAGCUCUCUAGUAGAGACCCCAGACUUCAGAGAAAAGCUGUCCCUGCUGUGCCCUGUCUGAAUUCCUGACCCACAGAAUCUAUGGGAAAUGUUCCCCCUAAGGCAAAAACACCCCUAAGAUGUAUUCUGGAGAAUUGGGACCAAUUUGACCCUCAGAUGCUAAGAAAGAAGUGACUUAUAUUCUUCUGCAGUACCGCCUGGCCAUGAUAUCCUCUUCAAGGGAGAGAAACCUGGCCUCCUCAGGGAAGUAUAAAUUAUAACACCAUCUUACAGCUAGACCUCUUUUGUAGAAAAGAAGGCAAAUGGAGUGAAGUGCCAUAUGUACAAACUUUCUUUUCAUUAAGAGACAACUCGCAAUUAUGUAAAAAGUGUGAUUUAUGCCCUACAGGAAGCCCUCAGAGUCUACCUCCCUAUCUACCUCCUUACCCCGGCAUCCCCCCGCCCCCCCACUCCUUCCUCAACUAAUAAGGACCCCCCCUUCAACCCAAACUAUCCAAAAGGAGAUAGACAAAGGGGCAAACAAUGAACCAAAGAGUGCCAAUAUUCCCUGAUUAUGCCCCCUCCAAGCGGUGGGAGGAGGAGAAUUUGGCCCAGCCAGAGUGCAUGUACCUUUUUCUCUCUCAGACUUUAAAAUAGACCUAGGUAAAUUCUCAGAUAACCCUGAUGGCUAUAUUGAUGUUUUACAAGGGUUAGGACAAUCCUUUGAUCUGACAUGGAGAGAUAUGAUGUUACUGCUAAAUCAGACACUAACCCCAAAUGAGAGAAGUGCCGCCAUAAACUGCAGCCCGAGAGUUUGGUGAUCUCUGGUAUCUCAGUCAGGUCAAUGAUAGGAUAGCAACAGAGGAAAGAGAACGAUUCCCCACAGGCCAGCAGGCAGUUCCCAGUGUAGACCCUCACUGGGACACAGAAUCAGAACAUGGAGAUUGGUGCCGCAGACAUUUACUAACUUGCGUGCUAGAAGGACUAAGGAAAACUAGGAAGAAGCCUAUGAAUUAUUCAAUGAUGUCCACUAUAACACAGGGAAAGGAAGAAAAUCCUACUGCCUUUCUGGAGAGACUAAGGGAGGCAUUGAGAAAGCAUACCUCUCUGUCACCUGUCUCUAUUGAAGGCCAACUAAUCUUAAAGGAUAAGUUUGUCACUCAGCCAGCUGCAGACAUUAGAAAAAAACUUCAAAAGUCCGCCUUAGGCCCAGAGCAAAACUUAGAAACCCUAUUGAACUUGGCAACCUCGGUUUUUUAUAAUAGAAUCAGGAGGAGCAGGUGGAACGUGGUAAACGAGAUUAAAAAAAGGCCACCGCUUUAGUCAUGGCCCUCAGGCAAGCGGACUUUGGAGCCUCUGGAAAAGGGAAAAGCUGGGCAAAUCGAAUGCCUAAUAAGGCUUGCUUCCAGUGCGCUCUACAAGGACACUUUAAAAGAGAUUGUCCAAAUAGAAAUAAGCCGCCCCCUCGUCCAUGCCCCUUAUGUCAGGGGAAUCACUGGAAGGUCCACUGCCCCAGGGGACGAAGGUCCUCUGAGUCAGAAGCCACUAACCAGAUGAUCCAGCAGCAGGACUGAGGGUGCCCAGGGCAAGUGCCAGCCCAUGCCAUCACCCUCUCAGAGCCCCAGGUAUGCUUGACCAUUGAGGGCCAGGAAGUUAACUGUCUCCUGGACACUGGCACAGCCUUCUCAGUUUUACUCUCCUGUCCCGGACAACUGUCCUCCAGAUCUGUCACUAUCCGAGGGGUCCUAGGACGGCCAGUCACUAGAUACUUCCCCCAGCCACUAAGUUGUGACUGAAGACCUUUACUCUUUUCACAUGCCUUUCUAAUUAUGCCUGAAAGCCCCACUCCCUUGUUAGGGAGAGACAUUCUAGCAAAAGCAGGGGCCAUUAUACACCUGAACGUAGGAGAAGGAACACCUGUUUGUUGUCCCCUGCUUGAGGAAGGAAUUAAUCCUAAAGUCUGGGCAACAGAAGGACAAUAUGGAUGAGCAAAGAAUGCCCAUCCUGUUCAAGUUAAACUAAAGGAUUCCACCUCCUUUCCCUACCAAAGGCAGUACCCCCUUAGACCCGAGGCCCAACAAGGACUCCAAAAGAUUGUUAAGGACCUCUUGUUUCCAAUCUGGAGAUAAUCCAUACCCCAAACCUCACCUGUGUAAAUGUUAGCAAUUCUAUAGACACAACCAACUCCCAAUGCAUCAGGUGGGUAACUCCUCCCACACAAAUGGUCUGCCUACCCUCAGGAAUAUUUUUUGUCUGUAGUACCUCAGCCUAUCAUUGUUUAAAUGGCUCUUCAGAAUCUAUGUGCUUCCUCUCAUUCUUAGUGCCCCCAUGACCAUCUACACAGAACAAGAUUUAUACAAUUAUGUUGUACCUAAGCCCUGCACCAAAAGAGUACCCAUUCUUCCUUUUGUUACCGGAGCAGGAGUGCUAGGCAGACUAGGUACUGGCAUUGGUGGUAUCACAACCUCUACUCAGUUCUACUAUAAACUAUCUCAAGAACUAAAUGGUGACAUGGAAUGGGUCGCCAACUCACCAGUCACCUUGCAAGAUCAACUUAACUUCCUAGCAGCAGUAGUCCUUCAAAAUCAAAGAGUUUUAGACUUGCUAACUGCCGAAAGAGGGGAAACCUGUUUAUUUUUAGGGGAAGAAUGCUCUUAUUAUGUUAAUCAAUCCGGAAUCGUCACCGAGAAAGUUAAAGAAAUUCGAGAUCGAAUACAACGUAGAGCAGAGGAGCUUCAAAACACCAGACCCUGGGACCUCCUCAGCCAAUGGGUGUCCUGGAUUCUUCCUUUCUUAGGACCUCUAGCAGUUAUAAUAUUGUUACUUCUCUUUGGACCCUGCAUCUUUAACCUGCUUGUUAAGUUUGUCUCUUCCAGAAUUGAAGCUGUAAAGCUACAAAUGAUUCUUCAAAUGGAGCCCCAGAGGCAGUCCAUGACUAAAAUCUACUGCGGACCCUUAGACCGGCCUGCCAGCCCAUGCUCCAAUGUUGAUGACAUCCAAGGUCUGUGUUUGUUCCGGUUCGAACUGAGCUUUCGCUCGCCAUCCACCACUGCUGAUUGCUGUCGUCGCAGAUGCCGCCGCUGACUUCCACCCCUCCGGAUCCGGCAGGAUGUCCACUGCACUUCUGAUCCAGUGAGGCAGCGCCCACUGCUGCUCCCAAUCAGGCUAGAGGCUCACCAUUGUUCCUGCGUCAGCUAAGUGCCUGGGGUUCAUCCUAAUCAAACUGAAGAGAGCUAUAACACUCAUUGCAUGGCCCAAGAUUCCAUUCCUUGGAAUCCGUGAGGCCAAGAACCCCAGGUCAGAGAACAAGAGGCUUGCUGCCAUCUUGGAAGUGGCCUGCCACCAUCUUGGGAGCUUUAAGAACAAGGACCCCCCAGUAACACCAUGAUUCAAUUACCUCCCACUGGGUCCCUCCCAUGACACAUGGGAGUUAUGGGAACUACAGUUCAAGAUGAGAUUUGGGUGGAAACACAGCCAGACCAUAUAAGGCCUGUGGCCACAGCAUGUCUGACUGUUGGAAGAACACAAGGAGGCAGAGGGACGAACAGAGAGAAGGAAAGGUGUAAAGGCAGACCUUGUUAGGCCUUGUAAAGCAUUUUAAUGAUUGGGGUUUUUAGUCUGAGUACAAGGAGUUCUGAGUGCUGAGUGAUGAGUGCUGAAGGGUUUUAAGCAGAAGAGAGAUGACGAUGUAAGCUUUUUUUUUUUUUUUUUUUUAAGACAGGGUCUCACUCUGUUGCCCAGGCUACAGUGCAGUGGCACAAUCUCAGGGCCCCCUGCAGCCUUGACCUCCCAGGCUCAGGUGAUCUUCCCUCCUCAGCCUCCUGGGUAGCUGGGACUACAGGUGUGUGCCACCAUGCCUGGCUAAUUUCUUGUAGAGUCAGGGUAUCACCAUGUUGCCCAGGCUGGUCUUGAACUUCUGGGCUCAAGUGAUCCUCCCUCCUGGGCCUCCCAAAGUGCUGGGAUUACAGGCAUGAGCCACGUCAGGCCUAAUUUAGCUUUUAGAGAGAUCAUUUUGACUUCUGUAUUAAGGACACACCUUAGCAAAUGAUGGAAGAAGAGAGACUAAUUUUUAUAAGUUAUUAUAAAAAUCCAGGAGAGAUAGCAGUGGUUUGGACUAGAUAGUGGCAGUGGAUGAAUUCUAGUAUACUUUAAAGGUAGAGCAGAAAGGAUUUGGGGUGUGCGAGAGAGAAGAGAUGAGGAUUGCUCCAAAAUUUCAGUGUGAGCAACUGAAAGACGGGUUGUCUCUAACUUGGGUGGAAGGAAUGCAUUUAAAGAGAUUAGAUCAGAAUGUGUUAAACUUGGGAAGCCUUUCAAGUGAAGAUGCUAUAAGGGUAGUUGAAGACACAGAUCUAUGGUAUUGAGGAUAGAGGUCUGGCCUGGAGCACCUGGGAAAUGUCAGCCCAUGGCAAUAUUUAAAACUGGAAUACCGGACAAGGUCACUCAGAGAGUGAGUGUGGGUAGGAAAGACGAGUUGCCAGGACGGAGCCAUGGGGUACUCCAGUGUUGGGAUGGCAGGGAGAAUGUGGCCCAGCAGAGGAAGCUGGGUGGAGAGAGAAGCAGGAGGCAAAUUAAAAGGGCACAAUAUUCUGAGAGCCAAGUAAAAAUGUUUUAAGCAGAGAGGUGGCGAGGGGGGUGAUCAAAUUGUGAAGUGUUGCUUAUCGAUCUAGGUACGGUAAGAAAAGCACUGAGAAUCAAAUAGUGCCAACCCCACAGAUGGUCUCUUUCCUCUCUUUCUGAAUUAUGAUGGCUUCUCUAAUGAUUCUUUGGAACUUGCGCCUCAAAGGAAUGACAAUGACUAAAGAAGUUGAGGAUCCUGUGGCGGUCACUGGGCUGUUCACAAACGCAUCUCCCAUUGUGGGCACAUGGUAGGAGUGCCAUGCUUAGAGAAGGCCACUCGGUUUCCUUUGCCAGUGAAAUGUAAGCUAAGGAAAGUUUGCCAUUCCUGGCAGGAGCUCUGAGAGCCAGGGAGCAGUCUGCCACAUUUCCUUGGCAGUGAGCAACUGUGGAAGCAUGUGCCGAGAGGAAACGUCUAUCAGCCAUGGUCGGAGUUGUUACAAUGAGCAGAAUCCCCUGCUGAACUUGGAUAGACAUCCAGUAUGAGAAAUAAACUUUAGUUUUAUUAGUUUUAUGUUGGGACAGCAAAACCUAAACUAUCCUGAGGACGCAAUGCCUAAAUACAAAAAUAAUAUAAACAGUGGUAUCCAGUCUCCAUUGAUAACCAGUAGAUUAUACAUUUCAGGAUACGAAAUUUUACUUUUCCACACCAGGGAUAGAGAAAAUCCAGCAAAUAACAUAGAUGAUAAAACUUGACCUCAUUGUAAGUUCGCUUUUUUUUGUUUUUUUUUUUUUUUUUGGAAUGGAGUCUCGCUCUUUCUCCCAGGCUGGAGUGAUGUAGUAGUGUGAUCCUGGUUCACCGCAACCUCCGCCUCCUGGGUUCAAGCAAUUCUCCUGCCUCAGCCUCCCAAGUAGCUGGGAUCACAGGCAUGUACCACCACGCCCGGCUGAUUUUUGUAUGUUUUAGUAGAGACAGGGUUUCACCAUGUUGACCAGGCUGGUCUUGAACUUGUGACCUCAGGUGAUCUGCCUGCCUCGGUCUCCCAAAGUGCUAGUAUUACAGGCGUGAGCCACCUUAUGGGAUCACUGUCUUAUAUUCAGUGUUCUUUUGACUGAAACAUUGCUAUGGGUGCAUGGCUAUAUUUGGUCUUUGUCCCCAGUUCCUGCACAGAACUUCUAAAACCGUUGACGUUUACUGAGAGAGGUGUCUUUUGUUCUACAUAAUGAGCCCCUUUUGAUCACACUUGAGUUUAUGCUAAUGAGGUUACUUAGGGUGGGGCCCCUGGAUAGACUCAGGCUCAGGCUGGUCAGCAGAAACACCUCCUGACCUUUGAGCUUUGGGGAGAGAGGGCAUCUGGAGAUCCAGCUCCAUAAAAUAAACUCUUGAAUGGUACGAUUUGGACAGCUCCCAGGUAGAUGAACACAGCGAGGUGCUGGGAGGAUGAUGCGCUCUGGGUGGGCGUGGAGCUCCAUGCACCUCCCCAUGCCUUGCCCUAUGCUUCUUUUCAAUUUGGCUCUUCCUAAGUUGUAGCCUUCAUCAUAAACCUGCAAAUGUAAGGAUUUUCCAGAGUUCUGUGAGCUGUUCUAGCAAAUUAUUUGAACCUUAAGCGGGCAGUGUGUGGGAGCCCCUUCGACUUUGUAGCCAAUAUGGACAGAAGUGAGGGUCACCGGUGGACCCAGUAUCUGUGACUGGCAAUGGAAGUGAGGCAGUCUUGUGGGACUCAGCCCUUAAACCUGUGGAACCUGACACUAACUCCGGGUAGUUAGUGUCACAAUUGAAUUGUAGAUACUCAAUUGGUGUCCGGAAGAAUCAGAGAAUUGGUUGAUGGUGUUGGAAAACACCCUACCAAUAUAACACUUAAGUUCAUUUUUAGCAUAAUAUCUGACUGGGUUUUCAGAUGUUUUAAUAUUAGAGAAGAAAUGGUGGUGUAAGAGACAAAGAAAUAACAAUUAUGCAUAAAAGAAUUUUAUUUAGUGGCCAGAUCCCAAUGAAUAAUGUCAGUCAUUGCUUGGUUCUGCUAAAAUGUGGUAUUAGAUAUAUUCUUAAGAAAGUGUACAAUUGCAUCACCAAAAGCUGUUUAAUUUGGAUUGUGUAGAAUAAAAGAAAACUACAUAA